UUCCUAAAGGUGAUCAGUCAUUAGAAACUCGAACCUAGAAUAAAAUACCCACAAAGAUUAAGAAUACAACAUGACAUAUAAUCGGAUAAUAAUUAACAAAGUACUUCGCAAAUAUUCAUGUCAUGGCUUCAUCAUAAACCUUAGAAAAUAACUUAGUUACACAUAAAAAUAAGAAUAAAAAGAAAGAUAGAACCCGGAAUCCAUGGCAAAGCACGUCCCUAAGCUCUUCUUCACUUAUUGCGGAGAUGAUGAAUGGUAGUGUGUUGUGGGUGGUAUGGGUGUGGGGGGAUGGAUGGUGUCGAGAGCUCCCCUUCGAGAGAGCUUAGGGACUUUAUUUAUACUAGAAAAAACCCUAAAAGGUCUGGGAGAAACUCUCCUAAAAUAAAAACAAACUCCUAAACAAUUAAUGACACAAACUAGGAAAGAAUCCUUCUUGGCUUGGGAAACACGGCAUCUGUUUUGCACGCCAGUUUUGGGGUAUAUUUAUCUUCUGGAAAAUUCUGUAAAAAAUAUGGGAAAUGUAGCUUUAUCUCUUAUCUUUCCAGGCAUAUAUCGCACGCUACUAGGAAAAAUCGGGAAAGCCUUCAAAUCUUCAUUCUCCCACAGCUACGCAAUUCUGACGGGAAAACAGCUUCUGCGGGAUUGAUUUGUGAAACUGGAAUGAAUGGCUUCAUGGAAAAUUAUGAAAUUCAGACAGGACAAUCUUCAGCCUCUUAGUUUCCUUCUCCAAUUUGCCUUGCAUCAAAACUCCUCCGGAAAGUUGAAUUAUCACCAAAAACGUCCUAAGUGCGCAGAAUGGCUGAAACAGAAAAAAAGGAAAAUAAUAAGGCUCUUUUGUAAUCAAUUCCUUAACAAAACUUAGGGAUAAUUAAUAUGAAAAUAUGAUAAAUAAUGCACCUAUCAAAUACCCCCAAACUAAGCUUUUGCUAGUCCUCGAGCAAAACAAAAAUAAAAGACAAGGAAAACAAUAGACCUUCCAUAAAUUAGCCUCAAAAGCAAUCAAGAGACGGUCACCAAACUUAAGAGAACUAAACAUUUUUCAAAAUAAAAUUAACCAAACCUUACACAACAUUCUCAAGUGUAAUGAGUAACACAACCAAUAUCAAUACAACUUACUCAACCCGGAUAGGUAUAUGCAGACCAAAGCUUCCACUUCAAAUCCUCCACCAUGAAUAUCACUCAUAAAGAAAUCACAUAUUAAAGGGCAAAGUGUUUCACUCAAAUCAUGAUAAGCAAUAUAAAACCCCAUAAGCUUGCUCUUCAUAUCAACUCUCCACUAAUGUAAAACAAUGCAACACCAAAGAUCAAAGGUCUUUACAGGGGUUGUAAUAUUAGGCUAGGGUAUGGGCUAACAAAGAAAGGAUAUGAGAAGAAACUAAAACUUAAGAAAUACCAAGAUAUCUUCAUAAUGUAAUUCGGUCGGCCCUCUCUUGAAACUUGAAUCUUCUAUUAAUGGCGUCCAGGACUCAUGUCAUAAAGAUGGAACAAUUUCAAACUCUUCUGUUCUAUUUCUUUUUUUUUAUAUAUUUUUUUUUAUUUUUUUUUUCUUUCUUUUUCUUCUUUUUUCAGAAAAGUAAUCACAAAAUAAGAAUAAUACUACACAUGGUACCUCGGUACACGCCACAUCUUUGAUGUAGAACCCAACCUUGUCUUCUGAUGUCCACUUGGUAUCUCCUAAGCUAUAGGGUAUGGAUAAUAUAGGUUAAAUAGGUAAAGGGUGAAUGUGGGUGAUGAAAGAAAAGGCUAAGUGUUUGGCUUCAAGAGGAUAACUAGGGAUAAUAUAACAUAAAAGGUUGGUUAGAAAGGCUCAAACGAUCCAAACAUGGCCUUAAUCAUCUCUCUAAUGUUGCAUGACUUAGGAUUUCGCCUCAAGAGAUAUUGAAGCAAGUUCUAGUGAAUGAUAAUGCUAUCAUGAAACUCACAAAAAGAAUAUGCAAGAGGCUCAAAAUCUCACAAGGGUUCAAUAAGUUUCACUUAAAAUCCGUAUAUAAUUCUCUAAGUAAGAGAUAAUCAUACCGACAUUGGUUAUUGGUAUAAAAUAAACUUGAGAAUGAUCAUGUAAGAAUUUAGAUUAUCCAUAUAAAAAAAUUGAAUUUUCACAUAAGAAGAACCAAUUCAAAUAAGUUUGUUGACCUAAAAGAAAGCGAAUUAUUAUCAUUGACUUAUGGAAGGUCUAACUAAACGACUCAAGAAAAAUAAAAUCUUUUUGAAUUUUUAUAACAUUAAGACUUGAAUAAAAGAACGGAAAGUAGGACAAAUAACCACAGAAAACAAACAUAUGCCAACAGAAAUUGCAAACAGCACGGUGAAAAUAUGAUAAACCACAGGCAGUUUCGACCUUUAGACAAAGAUUUGAUCAUAACUUUUGAACGAAAAAUCCGAUUUUCAUGGUCUUUAUAUGACUGGAAAGAAGACAAAAAAUUGAAGAAGACAACGCGGACAAAAUCUUCAAAUUCCUUUCCAAUUAAAACAGUUUUAAGCAAACAAAGACAGCAUGAAAACUCAACGAAAACAAAACACAGAAACGAAAUUCAAAAUCCUCAAAUCCUCCCCCCAAACUUAAAGUAAACAUUGUCCUCAAUGUUUAGAACAGAGAUAAGAUAACAAAUAACACAUUGAAAGAGAGGGUGUGAAAAACUUCCCCGGAUUUUUCAUAGGAGUAUGGAUGAGCGAUGGUGAAGCAUGAUACGAAUCACCAUAUAAUGAUCUCCCCCAAACUGGAAGUUUGGAUGCCCAUGUUCCUGCAACACAAGAAAGAAAUUAAAAAUUUAUUCCAAAACAAUAAAAUUAAAAAUUACGAAAACAAAGGAAAGAUUUAGAAAACUUGGGUUGCCUCCCAAGAAGCGCUUCUUUAUAGUCAUGAGCUAGACUAUGUCGAAAUUAAUUGGAGGGUGGUGGAUCAUUGAAAUGAGGAACCACUCCGUGAAUCUUCUUCUUAUUCCCUUUCUUCCACCUUGUAGCUUUGAAAUUUGGUGUUGAUAUAAGGCAAUGAGGCACUGCAUAUUUUUGUUUCUUCAAUUUCAAAGUUUGAGACUUUUUUCUCUUCUUCAUUUUUUUCCGUUGUCUCUUCCACCAUAUCUUCGCCAUCGGAAUGGAAUUGAGUUGAGCGUACAUGACUUCAAAUUUUGGUUCAAUUCCAAACUCUCUUCCAUAAUUUGAGCAAUGGACUUCAAAAGGAUCUUUGAAUUCCUGUAGAAUGAAUGAAAUUGGAACUUUAGAAUCAUUAGUGUUAAGGAUGUAGCACUCGGGAAUAUCCAAUGGAGAUGGAUUUGCUUCUAGCACUUUAAUAGUCGGCACUGCAUCAACAACUUGAAUGUCGGCAGGAAGUGCCCAAUUAGUAAUGGCUAUUUGGCUAAUCGGCUCAUUCAAUGGGUCCUCCAACUUUGAAUUUUCUAUCUUCUCUUCACCUUCUGCUAAUUCACUCGACUCUUGGUUGAUGUCCUCCUCAAUUCUCAAUGUCAUGUGGGCACUAUCUUGUUCAUGGAAUGCAUCUUGCUCAAUCGGAGUAGCUUCAGGUUCACUUGGAAAUAUAUCUUGGUCCCUUUCACUCAAUAUCGCAGCACGUUGUCCAACUUGCUUCUCCAAUUUUGCGAUUGCAUGAUCGGUUGCUUGCGCCUCUUGUUGGAAUGCUUGCUGGAACGCUUGCUGCCCUUGUUGGAGAUCUUGCAAAAUUUGAGAGGUGAUUUGUUGAUAUUGCGUAGUAGCUUGAACCAUCAGUGCCAAAGCUUCUUCCCAUGAAGGUGUCUCGGCUUCAACGGGUGUGGCUUCUUGUAUAAAUUCUGAGAAUUGAUAACUAGGCCAAUAUUCCAUUGGAAAUUGUUGAUAAGCCAUCUUUUUCCUCCUACGGGAAACAAUGAACGAAAUUAACAAUGGAAAAGGAAAAUUAAAAAUUUUCGUAAAACAAAAAAUAAGGGAAAGAACUUAAAAAAAAAACGAGCAAGUAAUCCUAAUACUAAUGGACAAAGAAGUCACGAGCAAAGAGAAUCCUACAGUGGGUUUGAAAACUAACAAACUGCCGCAAAUUUUUUUUUUUUGUUUUUAUUUAUUUUAUUUAUAAAACAGAAAAUAGAAAGAAAGAAAAAUAAACUCACUACACAAAUAAAAAUAGAACACGAAAAAUAAAAUUUAGUAAAACGCAAUCAUCAAGCCAAAUUGGGAUUAAGGGGCAAUCCCCGGCAACGGCGCCAAAAACUUGAUGUAAAUUUAAACUAACCUAAAUAAUAGAUUAAUUUAAACCAAAUUAAACUCGCAAACGCACGAAUCAAUUGUAGUAAGAUAUGCAAAUACGAGGUCGAUCCCACAAGGAUUGCUUUAACACCAAUUUAACCGAUUAAUCACGCUAAACUUAAUUAAACAAACAAAUGAUAGAUUGAAUUGAAUAAUUAAUUAAGACUAAAUUAACAAGAAAAAUAAAAGACAAUUAAUUAAAACACACACACGACACAAGAAAACCUAAGGUUAUGAAUCCACCAACAACAAUCCUAUUUACUUUUCCUAAAGCCAACUACUAUCCAAUUACCAUGCCAAUGUUAAAGGUUGUUCUUUCUAAGGUAUGAAUUAAUCCUUGGUCAGGCAUCAACUCUUGUAUCUCUACAUGAUAAUUAUAUCCUAUUGGUUAGGCAUACAAUUAAACACAUAAAAACCCAUUAAGCGUAGAAGAAUCAUGUCAACCAAGUAGGACUAGCUUGAUAUUGGUCAUCCUCACUAGUUUGUCUACUCUUCUUAAUCUUAGUUCCAAUAAACCUAAUUGAUAUUGGUCAUCCUCAUAGAUUUAUCUAAAUAUCUAAAUACAAAAUUCCUAAAGGUGAUCAGUCAUUAGAAACUCGAACCUAGAAUAAAAUACCCCACAAAGAUUAAGAAUACAACAUGACAUAUAAUCGGAUAAUAAUUAACAAAGUACUUCGCAAAUAUUCAUGUCAUGGCUUCAUCAUAAACCUUAGAAAAUAACUUAGUUACACAUAAAAAUAAGAAUAAAAGAAAGAUAGAACCCGGAAUCCAUGGCAAAGCACGUCCCUAAGCUCUUCUUCACUUAUUGCGGA
rnacentral:lncRNA from 1 species